GAGCUGCGCUAGUGCAGUGGUUAGCACGUGCCCCCCGCGAAGGCUGAGAUGCGGGUUCAAUUCCCGAUCGAGGUUCA